rnacentral:misc_RNA from 1 species
AACGCACCUUGCGCCUCUUGGUAUUCCGAGAGGCAUGCCUGUUUGAGUGUCAUUAAAUUCUCAACCUCAACUUUGUUGAUGAGGCUUGGAUGUGGAGGUUUUUGCUGGCACCCUUGUAUGGAGUCGGCUCCUCUAAAAUAUAUUAGUGGAAACUGUUUUUGUAGGUUUACAUUAGUAUGAUAAUUAUCGGUGCUAUUGUAGCUACAAGCUUGAUGUGGGGUUCGUUUGGAGAAGUGCAUGCAUAUAUAAUGAAUGCUCUCUCUGUUUUUGUUUGACCUCCCAUAGCAAGUAUAAUAUAGGAUCUGCUUCAAACUGUCCUGAGUUACUGGACAAUAUUUGAUUAUUUUGACCUCAAAUCAGGUAGGACUACCCGCUGAACUUAA